ACGAUUUUUUUCGCUCAAUUUUUUUAUGAAAAUAGCCUAAGUUGUUACAAAAAGACUCACGAAAAAUAUAGGAUGGAGCAACUCUCCUAAAAAAUAAUACAAAAAACCAUGUUCUAAACGUCAACAUUUUCAAAAACCGAACACGAGCAUUUUGAUGGUUUUUGGCAAUUUCUAUAUAACACACACAAAAAAAUAUUAUGGUAAUGACAAAAGUAACUUACUUUUGAAUUAAUAAGUGGUUAAAAUUUGCUACAUUAAAAGUUUUUUUCUUGUUUUGAAAAUGAAAACUUUUACUGCUACAGUUUUUGAAAAUCUCAUUGCUAACUUAUUUAAAAGUUUUAACUUUUAAUUCGACUGUAUAAUUUCUAACAUUUUGUCGUUCUCCUGAAACCGUGUACGUCUAAGUCCAAAAUGUAAACAAACGUUUAGGUGAUUCCGGUGGUUAGUGAGUGGUGGUCCACGACGUCAAUCAAAACAGAACGCGUCCGCAGCCAGGACUUGGACGCGGAUACCUUCGAAGGAGGAUGGUGCGGAACAAGGUUAGGGGAUUAGGGGAAAGUUGGUUUUCAAAAGGAUGAGGCCAGCUUCCUGCCGGAUCUGCAGCUGUUUCACGACCGAAAUGGGACGCCGUUUAUGUGGAUGUGAAUUUGCACCGGUUGUAUUCGAUAAAGUUAAUUUUAACGAUGAGGAGAAGGAUCCGACGGAAGAGGGAAACGACAAGAAGCGAUCGGAGGUGGUCAGCGCGGAUGUUGCACUCGGUGCCGGCGGUUUACGACCAUCAGCAGCAUUAUGUGCCGGAAGUGAUGACGGGACAUUGUGGGAUGUCCUGAGGGUCCGCAGUCCAUUUCUCGGUGCGGGACAUGUUUGACGAGUAUUACAUAAACAUCCGGAAGAACAGUUUGCACCAGUUCUGGAAGAACCGUCUGUACGAAAGCCGCAGAUCCUGAAGCUGUCGUACUCGGAUUACUUCCAGAGGUUGGAGUGAUAUCCGACGAACCUGAUCAAGAACAUCUACCUGGAAUACCGAAGAAGUCACCGCAACUCCCGCCCGCAAACUCUCAACUCGCGACGGCGCAGCUUCGGCCAGAUGAACUGGCAACAUCUGUGCCAUUCCGAAGGAGGACGAUGUGAUCGAGAACUAUCAGGCGCUUCACUUCCCAGUCGGAAAACGUCGACUUACCUUCCCGAAUUAACACCCAAUGGCCAACUCCUCCAAGCCUGCCCUGAUGAUGGCCGGCAACGACUCUACAUCGCUGUCGCGCUCCAAAAUGUAGGCCGCGAUGUUAAGCAGCAUAAGCAGCAGUUUUAAUAUUAAAAUAAAAAUAAAAAUAGAAAUAAAAUCCAUCACAUUUUUCGAAAAUCAUCACUGUAAUGUUAAAUGUUAUUUAUUGUUGCCAUAAAAAGUUUCUUCUUAUAAUAAAAGUAAAAAACUUUUACCGAUACAACGAUUUUGUUCCAGAAGUGCACUGCCGCUCUAAUCUAGUCCGUCCCAUAUGUAAAAAGUGGAUGCUGAGAUAACGCCGUGAGAAGGCCAAAAAAUGUUGCACCAUUUUUCACAUUCCCAAUCAAAUUUUUUUUGCUAAAUUUUUAUACAAUUAUUUCAAUAUUAGUCCAACAAAUAUUUCUAACAUGAAUUUGUUUCAUAAAACAUAAAAUUUAGAGAUAAAUUUGUGUUAUUUUCAUACUAGAACUGACUUGCCUUUAUUAUUCUAUAAAUAAAGGCAAGUCAGUCAAUGAUAUCAAGGUAGGCUUGAACAUUUUCACUAGAAGUUAAACUGUCAUUUCAAGGUUUGUUUGGGUAAUUUCCAAGUAACUUUCACAAAAAAUAUAAAAUUACGUUAUUUUAUGUUUAUUUCAGAUUCAUUCAUUUAUAGUAAAGCUCAUAACUAUGAAAAUGUAAUCAUAAACGAGACUAAACUACUACAGAGGCAUGAGAUAUUUGAAUGCGUGCCUCAACGUCUGUACCGUUGAAAUUUAGUGAUCCACAAUCUACGUUUACCGGAAGUAGAACCUCUUCCAGAACUAGGACCAGGGUAAUUCAUUCAAGAUUGAAUAGAACUUAUUUUAUGGAAUAUUACUCAUAAUGGUAUGUAGUUUCUUGUUUACUCGUGGUUGUCCCUUGCAUGAAAAAAGCACAAAUGGUUUCAAAUAUUACGCAUCAAAAUUUAUAAAUAUUCUUGCAGAUAUGAACUACUUAUAAUCUUUUUUUAAGUUCUGCGGGUUCAUAGAAACAUAGUCCUUGAAAUUUAAAUGGUUCCACGUUCAUUCAAUCGAUUUAUGAGACAUUUCUUUCGAAGAAACUGACUUGCCUUUAUUUUGCAUAUGGGACAGCACGAAAGUGAUUUUUAUUUUGGAAUUUUCAGAACAAACAUCACUUUUUUAUUAAAUUGGCUCAAAGUACAUGUAAAAACAAAACUUUUGCUAUGUUUAUCUCAAAAAUGACCAAAAUACAUAUGGGACGGACUAGAUUAGAGCGGCAGUGCAUGGUAGUAUCAAAAA